rnacentral:rRNA from 1 species
AGAGUUUGAUCCUGGCUCAGGACGAACGCUGGCGGCGUGCUUAACACAUGCAAGUCGAACGAGAGGACAAGAGAAGCUUGCUUCUUUUGGAAUCGAGUGGCAAACGGGUGAGUAACACGUAAACAACCUGCUUUCAGGAUGGGGACAACAGACGGAAACGACUGCUAAUACCGAAUACGCUUGGAAGACCGCAUGAUCUUCCAAGGAAAGGGUGGCCUCUACCUGUAAGCUAUCGCCUGAAGAGGGGUUUGCGUCUGAUUAGGCAGUUGGUGAGGUAACGGCCCACCAAACCUACGAUCAGUAGCCGGUCUGAGAGGAUGAACGGCCACACUGGAACUGAGACACGGUCCAGUCUCCUACGGGAGGCAGCAGUAGGGAAUCUUCCGCAAUGGGCGAAAGCCUGACGGAGCAACGCCGCGUGAGUGAUGAAGGUCUUCGGAUCGUAAAACCCUGUUAUUAGGGAAGAACAAGUGCGUAGGUAACUAUGCGCACCUUGACGGUACAUAAUCAGAAAGCCACGGCUAACUACGUGCCAGCAGCCGCGGUAAUACGUAGGUGGCAAGCGUUAUCCGGAAUUAUUGGGCGUAAAGCGCGCGUAGGCGGUUUUUUAAGUCUGAUGUGAAAGCCCACGGCUCACCCGUGGAGGGUCAUUGGAAACUGGAAAACUUGAGUGCAGAAGAGGAAAGUGGAAUUCCAUGUGUAGCGGUGAAAUGCGCAGAGAUAUGGAGGAACACCAGUGGCGAAGGCGACUUUCUGGUCUGCAACUGACGCUGAUGUGCGAAAGCGUGGGGAUCAAACAGGAUUAGAUACCCUGGUAGUCCACGCCGUAAACGAUGAGUGCUAAGUGUUAGGGGGUUUCCGCCCCUUAGUGCUGCAGCUAACGCAUUAAGCACUCCGCCUGGGGAGUACGGCCGCAAGGCUGAAACUCAAAGGAAUUGACGGGGACCCGCACAAGCGGUGGAGCAUGUGGUUUAAUUCGAAGCAACGCGAAGAACCUUACCAAAUCUUGACAUCCUUUGACCGCUCUAGAGAUAGAGUCUUCCCCUUCGGGGGACAAAGUGACAGGUGGUGCAUGGUUGUCGUCAGCUCGUGUCGUGAGAUGUUGGGUUAAGUCCCGCAACGAGCGCAACCCUUAAGCUUAGUUGCCAGCAUUAAGUUGGGCACUCUAAGUUGACUGCCGGUGACAAACCGGAGGAAGGUGGGGAUGACGUCAAAUCAUCAUGCCCCUUAUGAUUUGGGCUACACACGUGCUACAAUGGACAGUACAAAGGGCAGCGAAACCGCGAGGUCAAGCAAAUCCCAUAAAGCUGUCCUCAGUUCGGAUUGCAGUCUGCAACUCGACUACAUGAAGCUGGAAUCGCUAGUAAUCGUAGAUCAGCAUGCUACGGUGAAUACGUUCCCGGGUCUUGUACACACCGCCCGUCACACCACGAGAGUUCGUAACACCCGAAGCCGGUGGAGUAACCUUUUAGGAGCUAGCCGUCGAAGGUGGGACGAAUGAUUGGGGUGAAGUCGUAACAAGGUAACCGUACUAGUACGAAGCACUU